CCACACCCGAGUUGGUGCCUCAUCAUAGCCCCAGGCUGGCGCGUCUUUUCCAAAUUCUCCAGUUCGUCAAUAUUUUCCACCCAGACGUGUAGAUAGAAGCUAUAAAAAGAAGAAAAGGGAAAACAAAGGAGGAGAACAAAGAAGAAAUGAGAAAUGAGGCGGAAUAGGAGAAUGAGCCAAGGUGUAAUAUUUAGUGCAAUACUGGCAGACCUGCAGAUUAUCCCUGCACUGAAGAGCAAUGACAUAUGUGCCUCAGACAGUCAGUUCUACUACGGCGGUGGCAAUUGCAUCCCGAAGCAGCGCAUGUGUGACGGCAUCAAUGGCUGCAGUAACAGAGAGCUGUGUAGCAUUGACGAAUGCCAGGAAAGGUUGUGACCACUUGUGCGCCAACCCUCAAGAGUCAUACUACUGCCAGUGCCGGCCGGGAUACAGACUUUUCAGGAAGUUCAACUGUGAAGAAAGCUCCGAGUGAAUCUGAGUCAACCCUAGGCACCAAGUGGUAUCUCUAUGAUACUGCUUUGUUUUUUAAGUGACACUGUGGCUGUCACUGAAACUAAAUCAUCCUGGGAAAUGAAACAGACACUUUGGUGCUCAACAUUGAUGAACUACCAACAGAGGAGAAUGAAUGCUUGACUGCAAGUGAUGACAUCCUUUCACCAACAUCCAAUCCAUCCAGCACCAGCUCAUCAAGAGAUACAACAGGCCUGUGAAGCAGAUGGAGUAGAAGAAAGAAAUUAGGAGAGGAUGAGGAGGUUUUUACUGCAUGAACAGUUAUUUCAUGGCAAAAUUAGAAGGAAAAAAAUAGUAAAAAUGAGUAUGCAGAAUAUGCAUACUCAUUAUCAUUUGCUGAGCAUUGUCAUGUAAUGAAAAGGUUGCAAGAUAUAAUACAUGAAACAUGUAGUAAACAUCUGUCAUCAGUGCAGUAAAGUGUCUUGUAAUGACACUUUUA
rnacentral:misc_RNA from 1 species